GCUUAGGAGGGUUGGCAACGACCCCCCAGAGCCGAAAACUUGGUCAAACUCGGUCAUUUAGAGGAAGUAAAAGUCGUAACAAGGUUUCUGUAGGUGAACUUGCGGAAGGAUCAUUACCGAGUGAGGGCCNUUUGGGUCCAACUUCCCACCCGUGUUUAUUUUACCUUGUUGCUUCGGCGGGCCCGCCUUUACUGGCCGCCGGGGGGCUUCACGCCCCCGGGCCCGCGCCCGCCGAAGACACCCUCGAACUCUGUCUGAAGAUUGAAGUCUGAGUGAAAAUAUAAAUUAUUUAAAACUUUCAACAACGGAUCUCUUGGUUCCGGCAUCGAUGAAGAACGCAGCGAAAUGCGAUACGUAAUGUGAAUUGCAAAUUCAGUGAAUCAUCGAGUCUUUGAACGCACAUUGCGCCCCCUGGUAUUCCGGGGGGCAUGCCUGUCCGAGCGUCAUUGCUGCCCUCAAGCCCGGCUUGUGUGUUGGGCCCCGUCCUCCGAUUCCGGGGGACGGGCCCGAAAGGCAGCGGCGGCACCGCGUCCGGUCCUCGAGCGUAUGGGGCUUUGUCACCCGCUCCGUAGGCCCGGCCGGCGCUUGCCGAUCAACCCAAAUUUUUAUCCAGGUUGACCUCG
rnacentral:rRNA from 1 species